rnacentral:rRNA from 1 species
AUGAACGCUGGCGGCGUGCUUAAUACAUGCAAGUCGAACGAAGCGCUUACAGCCGAUCCCUUCGGGGUGAAGCAGUUUGUGACUUAGUGGCAGACGGGUGAGUAACGCGUGGGUAACCUGCCUUAUGCAGGGGGAUAACAGUUAGAAAUGACUGCUAAUACCGCAUAAGCGCACAGCACCGCAUGAUGCAGUGUGAAAAGAUUUAUCGGCAUAAGAUGGACCCGCGUCUGAUUAGGUAGUUGGUGAGGUAACGGCCCACCAAGCCUGCGAUCAGUAGCCGACUUGAGAGAGUGAUCGGCCACAUUGGGACUGAGACACGGCCCAGACUCCUACGGGAGGCAGCAGUAGGGAAUAUUGCACAAUGGGGGAAACCCUGAUGCAGCGAACCGCCGCGUGAGUGAUUGAAGCAUUUCGGUGCGUAAAGCUCUAUCAGCAGGGAAGAUAAUGACGGUACCUGACUAAGAAGCCCCGGCUAACUACGUGCCAGCCGCGGC